UUGCAUCUUCGCCAACCUUUCAGGUACUGGAGGAAAAGUAGGGCAUAGUUUAACAAAUUGAUGUAAGUUAAUGUAUCACUCUUUCUAUAGUGGUUCGUGUUCGGUUCUGGAGACAACACGGUUUAGAUUUGGAACUUGCAAACGAAAGAAAUUGUUCAAAAACUUCAAAGUCGUAGAGAUGUCGUGUUAUGUACUGGAUGCCAUUCUACUGAAAAGGUCAUCGCAUCUGCUGCACUGGAAAACGAUAAGACUAUCAAGCUGUGGCGCUCGGACACAUAGGCGGACCCAUCUUUGUUGAAACAUACUAAUAAAAAAAAAAAAGCCUCCAACAGUGAUAGUAUGUAGCAUAGUGAGAUUUCUAGUUCUGGUAGUUCUUUAAAACAUUAUUUCAGUUCUAAACUCCAGAAAAUGGGUCUAAACUCAUCCCAAGCCAACAUGCUUUCGAAUCUUCAAACACCAUACCAACGAGUAGCCGUGUUCAUAGAUUGUAUAAACAGAAACUUCCAAGCUCUUCUUGCCUUAAGUAGUGGUUCUUAUUUUACCCAAUUUUAAUUUUCCAACCUCCAUGUGAAACCUUUGAACCACACACAGUUUCAGUUAGAGGAUCUUGUCCUCUAUCGUCUGGUGUUUAUUUGAACACUUCAUCUUUUAGAGCGUGAGGCAAACUCGCCACUCUUUUAUGCCGGAAUACAAGAGCAUUUCUACUGAGGGAUGUCUUCAACACAAAA